rnacentral:rRNA from 1 species
AUUGAACGCUGGCGGCAGGCCUAACACAUGCAAGUCGAACGGUAACAGGAAGAAGCUUGCUUCUUUGCUGACGAGUGGCGGACGGGUGAGUAAUGUCUGGGAAACUGCCUGAUGGAGGGGGAUAACUACUGGAAACGGUAGCUAAUACCGCAUAACGUCGCAAGACCAAAGAGGGGGACCUUCGGGCCUCUUGCCAACGGAUGUGCCCAGAUGGGAUUAGCUAGUAGGUGGGGUAACGGCUCACCUAGGCGACGAUCCCUAGCUGGUCUGAGAGGAUGACCAGCCACACUGGAACUGAGACACGGUCCAGACUCCUACGGGAGGCAGCAGUGGGGAAUAUUGCACAAUGGGCGCAAGCCUGAUGCAGCCAUGCCGCGUGUAUGAAGAAGGCCUUCGGGUUGUAAAGUACUUUCAGCGGGGAGGAAGGGAGUAAAGUUAAUACCUUUGCUCAUUGACGUUACCCGCAGAAGAAGCACCGGCUAACUCCGUG